rnacentral:rRNA from 1 species
AUAAAAAUCAACUUUGUUGGUGAAUCAUAAUAACUUCUCGGACCGCAUGGCCUCGUGCUGGCGGUGCUUCAUUCAAAUAUCUGCCCUAUCAACUGUCGAUGGUAGGAUAGAGGCCUACCAUGGUUGCAACGGGUAACGGGGAAUAAGGGUUCGAUUCCGGAGAGGGAGCCUGAGAAACGGCUACCACAUCCAAGGAAGGCAGCAGGCGCGCAAAUUACCCAAUCCCAACACGGGGAGGUAGUGACAAUAUGUAACAAUAUACGACCUUAUACGUCGUAUAAUUGGAAUGAGUACAAUUUAAAUCCCUUAACGAGGAACAAUUGGAGGGCAAGUCUGGUGCCAGCAGCCGCGGUAAUUCCAGCUCCAAUAGCGUAUAUUAAAGUUGUUGCAGUUAAAAAGCUCGUAGUUGGACCUUGGACCUGGACAGGCGGUCCGCCUCACGGCGAGUACUGUCUUGCUGGGUCUUUCCUCUUGGUGAUCUGUUGUUUCGGCAG